rnacentral:rRNA from 1 species
GAUGAACGCUAGCGGUAGGCAUAAUACAUGCAAGUCGAACGGAUGUAGCAAUACAUUAGUGGCGCACGGGUGCGUAACGCGUAUGCAACCUACCUUCAUCAGGGGGAUAACUACCCGAAAGGGUGGCUAACACCGCAUAAUACUACUGAAUGGCAUCAUUUGGUAUUUAAAUCUGAGGAGGAUGAAGAUGGUCAUGCGUCUGAUUAGCUAGUUGGUGUGGUAACGGCGCACCAAGGCGACGAGCAGUAGGGGAACGGAGAGGUUGGUCCCCCGCACUGGCACUGAGAUACGGGCCAGACUCCUACGGGAGGCAGCAGUAGGGAAUAUUGGUCAAUGGUGGGAACACUGAACCAGCCAUUCCGCGUGCAGGAAGAAGGGUCUCUGACUUGUAAACUGCUUUAGCAAGGGAAGAAAAAGCUCAUGCGUGAGAAAUUGACGGUACCUUGAGAAUAAGCACCGGCUAACUACGUGCCAGCAGCCGCCGUAAGAC